GCAGACUAAAUCAUACCACACGUGUCAGAGGGAGGUUCUGUGCACUUAUCCAAGUAGCUGUAGUCCAAUGUAAAUUCAUCUCUCCUGAAGGGUACAGUAGGGUACACAGCAUUUGAGAUGAGAAUUCAGCAUUAUUAAAUAUUCAGAAUCAAGAAACAUCUGUGAAAAUUACUGUGGUGCUGCAGUUUGGGUGCUGGACAGAAGAGGGUGCCCUUCAGAUAGCCUGAGAGAAAAAAAAAGACCUUGGCUGUGGGCACUGAAAACAGCCAGAGGUCGGCAAACUCCCAAUGCAGAAGGAGACCUUUCUCGGUGCAGAGAGGCUGUGGAAGCCCAUGCAGCCUGCACUGUGUGGCCUGGAGAAGGGCUUGCUUGCACACUCUGAGAUGCUUGGACACUUGAAUAAAGACUGAAUGAACAACAGUAGUGUUCUGAUGUAGCUGGAAAUCCUGAGUCCAGCGUGCUGGGAUUGAGUGAUGCUGCUAUAGUUUCUGCUGCAUUCAGAAGGUGGCUGUAAGCUUAUACAUUUAAUGUUGGAUAUGUGCACCGAAGUCUCUGUACUGUUCAAAUCAAUGCUUUAGAAGGUUGCAACUUAAUCAAGACUGUACCUCAUAAACCACCUGAGGAAACAAAUCCUGUGCUUGCCUGCCUGCAUGCAAAUGUGAUUUUUGACUCGUAUUGCUGGAGUCCCUGACGUGUAUACUCCUACAGGGGGUAAGUUUGUUGGCUGCACUGAAUGAGCAAAAAUGCUUCCACAUUGUAAAACACUCCCAUAACAUUGAUUCAGGUUUAAUCGAUUACAUGAGGUAGUUCAGAGAGCAGUUACAGCUGUGCAAAGUGUUAUUUGUUGUUAGAAUUUGACUUCGUGUGAUAACCAGGCAAUAAACUCUCAGUCAGCUGUCAGUCUCUGUAGGAAUGAGGCACUGUGAGAACUUAAAGAUCUGCUCGGAACAUUUCUAUCAAAUAAAUCAUAUCUCCUGAGUGGAUAUUUCCACCGUUUUGACAAGGAAAAAAGAAAAUGUUGUCUCUGGUUAGAUCUAGAAAGGCUAAGCAGAGUUGUAAUGAUUGCAAGCCAACUCUGUCUAUACACAGGAUUGAUGCAAGAGUUCGGGGUGCAAAGAUGUUUUUAAAUCUUGAUUUACAGUGUGUUUUUCAAAUAACAGAGCACUCACAGACCUCAAAUGAUACUCACUGGAUCGUGUUUGUGUCUCAAACAUGCUGUAUAUUUGAAACUGAAUCUAAUGCUUUUAAAUGGAGUAAUGAUUAGUGUUUUUAAUAAACAGCCUGAAAUCCGGUGUUAGCUGGUGAGUUGUGAAACAAGAACAUUCAUAGGACAUACUGCAGUAUAUCAGCUCAGCAGAAUUGAAAUUUCACUUUUCCAAAUGCUUCUUCAGAAAAAAUUGUGUUUUCAGGGAAACGUGUUCUCCAGUGGAAUUGAACCAGGGUGCAGAAUAAGCUGCUAUAAUUAUGCAAGCCCCAUCACUAAGAUAAUUACAAGUAUUUUAAUCGUCCUGAAUUCUUAUAUCACAGUAAGAAAACUUCUGUCCAAACUAUGUUUCAUCCAUAAAACUGUUUAAAGCAUGAAAUCUAAGGUGUGUCCUGAACAAAUGAAGCACAGCUUCAUUUUGAAUUGGUGAAAACCAUAGUUACAAGUGAUCAGAGUUUAUAAUGUAAUGCUACUUUAUCUUUGCUGAAUGAGGUAAAAAUACCUGGAGAUAGUGUUUUGUAGCCACGUUUACACAAAUACAUGACACAACUCUGAGAAGACCAUUAUGGAUUCUUCAAGAACAGUUACAGAAGCCAAGAGAAAAGUACUUCACUCUUGGAGAAGAAAUACUGGCAUGCACAGGCAUAAUAGGAAGAAUGACACCCUGUCUUUUGGCCAUAAACUCAGCUUCCCUUGGAUCGUGAUCCUUUGCCUGUUACUGUACAGUCAACACUGAAAAGACUCAGAGAAAUGUGAAGUAGUGUGAUUUUCUUUGUAUGUGUCAUAGAAAACAAAUCAGGAGAUGAAAAAGUAAUGUUUGACUGCUUGUUUUGCUCAUUUUUAUCUUUCCUAAAUACUCUGAAUACCAUCGUCUUCUAUGGAAGCAAUUGAACAAAUUGGGUAAGUUUUUGCUGCUGUUUCAGAAGAAUAAUAGAAAGCUACUUGUUUAGUCUGUGGUGCUGAGCAGAAAUUACAUGGCAUACUGACAGCAAAAUAGACUAAUAAUAAUAAUAACAAAUUUAAUUAAUCUCUGCUAUACUUUGAGCUGGACUGAACUUACUCUGCAAGACAGGAGAAUAACUCGUAUAUGUAUUAUUCUGGAGGAAUUACAGACAUAAUCAAUACACUUUGCUUAUGGUUCACAUCAGUGAGUUGUCAUAACAGUGAUUAUAAGUUCUCCAUCAGUAGUCAGGGCCAGAUGCUCAAGCUGCUCCAGAAGUUUCUCUUGCUUGACAAAACAAGCAUGAGUUGGUACAGGCUGAUGCCAGACUAGCUUUUUAUUUGAAAAGCUGACAGUCAACAUUAUAGACUUUUUCACUCAUUUCCCAUUGGUGCUGUAUUAAUGGAUUUCUUCAGUAAAUGGCCAGAAGUAGCCUCUAUCACAGGUCCAUCUCUUUUGGUCAUGACUUUCCAUUUACUCCUUUCAGCAGAGUAAGAAGCUCAGAAAACUAAUGUUCACAUUGUCAGAGAUUUGGAGGUAUGGCAGAGAUGGGGAGGUAAUAUGGGUUGGGAGUUCAGGCUUUUAAUAUAAGUGAGCUCUUGUAGACACAGUGAGAGCAACCCUGCUGUUUUCAGGAUGUAAGGGGUGGAGGAGAGUAAUUGUAGUGUAUUUGAAUUCAUAAUAGACAGGAUUCACUGAUUCCACUGCUUGUUGAAUGACAAAGUACAAAAUUACACAGAAGCGGCCGUAAUGAUGAGACAGGUAUGAGCCCAAGCCGCAAAUUCAAAUCAGAAAGCAAUCACAGGAUCAGCAAAGGAUAUAGCCAGGCACAGCCAUAUCUGUAAUGCAGCUCAGGCAAGGACUGAUAGCAGGGGCCUGAGCUCAAAUGCAACUCCUGAGUCAAGUGCA